UUAUUCUUUUCUUUGUUAGAAAAAAGGGAAGGAAAGAAAGAAUCAACAAAAUCGAAGGACUCAACAUAUUCAACCAAUCACCAUCCUUGGAGCAAAUUACUAAAAUAUAUGAAGAAAAAAAGUCAAUAUGAAAAUUGAUAAAUAAGUUCACCGUAAAAAGUUCAUGUUCCUGCAACGACACUUCCUGAAAGUGAAAAAUAUUUCUAUCUUUAAGGAGUUUAAAGACUUAAACCAAAACCUGAAGUUUCAAUGUUUCUUAUCGGUCAGGUCAUAAUAUUGUGUUAAAUCAUCUUUAGUAAGUUCCAAAAAACGAACUCCCAACUCCUACAUUCAUCUCAACCAGUAAUUACAGUAAGAGUUAGAAAGGUUUUCCCUGCUUUUAAUUCUAAAGUCCAAAUCAAGAAAGAUGUAAAUCACAUCAAGAAGACACCUCAAUUGCAUUAAUACUAAGAUUUGCUUCACAUACAAUAAUAAAAUAUAUUAAAAUAAUAAUACUAGACUCCUAAAUAAUCUCAAACUAACAAAUAACGUAGGAUUCAUAAUUCUUAUCCUAAUACGACUAUCUUAAAUCCAAUGUAUAUACUCCAAAAUUACCCCAAGGAAGGGUUAAUUCAUAAUUUACUACACCUCAAAUUCUGAGAGUUUAACAAUUGGUGGUGUGAGCAUGAAACAUACCUUCAACCCUAAAAAAAAAAAAAAUCCCAACAGUUUCGAUUUCUAUGGCUAACGAUUUCACUAAAUGCCUCAACAUGGAAGGCCAAGACAAUACCCACGACGAGGCCAACCAACAACCCACAUUCGCCCCUCUACAAACCACUGAUCCCCAGGCAGCUGCUCUAGCUCAGGCUUAUUCACAAUUCACCAUCAUGCUGAAACGCCUCUUGGAGAAUCCUCAGCCUAGUGGCGAACUAAUACCACCCACCAGGUAGGCGAAUCUUCCCCACCAAGAAUAUAGCCUCCCUCCAACUUACCUAAAUACCAAAGUCAUUCAGUAUUUGAUCGAUACCAUGAGGCGGAAUCGGAGGUACACCCUAGCGCGACCAUCCCCAAUAGCCAAAAGCUAAGUCACACCCAACCAAUCUUGGACAGAGCUAAUCUCCAAAAUGUUGUCAAGGAAUUGGUUCAAGAGUGUAGAGAGACAGGAGAAACAGGGGAUUAUGGUCUCCUAUAAGACUCGUCUUUGUCAGCUGAUAUUUUGGUUGCCGCUUUCACCAAGGUUCAAACUUCUUACUUUCCAAUUGCAUGAAGGAUCUACCAAUCCUCGAAGCCAUCAGACGACCUUCUGAACUAUGAUGUACCUUCAAACCAAUUCGGAGGAUCUAAUGUGUAAGGUGUAACAUUCCCGAGUUGAGUCAUUUCAUAGAGUCGAGUUGAGUCGAGUUGAACCAAACCCGGUUGGGGUAGAAUGAGAUUAGAAGUGGACUUAUUUGAAUGAGAGGAAAAGAUCAAAGCAUAUAAAGGAGAGGAUUCAAUUGCAUUAAAAGAUCAAGCUUGGGUAUUAAGUUGUAACCUUUGCAUAAUUGAGGUGCCAUGUAGGAAGUUUUACAUCUAUUUUGAUAGCCUACCCGUAAAAAUCAUUUUCACUUUCCCAUUUUUCAUGUUUAUCUCCAUCUUCUUCAUCUCCUUCCCUUCCCUUCCUUUCAUUUUCAUGGUAGUUGUGGUAAUUAAGCAUUAAGGCAACCUCAAUUUGCAACAAGUAAGUAAGUAGUAUAUCUUGAAGCUUUGUGUUAUUCAACUUCUUUGAGUUAUAUUGUGGGUAAUGUAUAAGAAUUGUUAUGGAUAGGUGAAGGAAGUUCCAAGAGUGUAGAGAAGAGAAGCUAGAAGAGCUCAAGCUUUUGGAGUGGAGGUUUGAUAUCUCUUUUCAUUUGCUAUUGGCUUUGUAUGGAAUUUGUGUGGUGUGUUGAUGAUGAGACAAUAUCUUGCUCCAUGUUGAAUGGGAGAACUGGAAAUGUUGAGAAAACAGGGGAGACCUUCAUCUUGAUUUUGACCCCAUUUAUUGCUUGAUUUUGACCCCAGUUAAUGGUGGAAUUAGGAAGUGUCAUAGAAGAGUUAUUUGUUCCUCUAUGUGUUAGCUUUNNNNNNNNNNNNNNNNNNNNNNNNNNNNNNNNNNNNNNNNNNNNNNNNNNNNNNNNNNNNNNNNNNNNNNNNNNNNNNNNNNNNNNNNNNNNNNNNNNNNNNNNNNNNNNNNNNNNNNNNNNNNNNNNNNNNNNNNNNNNNNNNNNNNNNNNNNNNNNNNNNNNNNNNNNNNNNNNNNNNNNNNNNNNNNNNNNNNNNNNNNNNNNNNNNNNNNNNNNNNNNNNNNNNNNNNNNNNNNNNNNNNNNNNNNNNNNNNNNNNNNNNNNNNNNNNNNNNNNNNNNNNNNNNNNNNNNNNNNNNNNNNNNNNNNNNNGGUUUGGCCCUUGGCCUGGAAGCGCUCGCGACUUGCGUUGCGCGCUCGCGUAGUUGGCAUGAAAACUCACUGUCUCUCAUUUGGCACCCUACGCGCUCGCGGCUCUCAAGUACGCGAUCGCGACUUGUGCCUGAUAACACACUGUCUCUUAUUUUCUGCAUUACGCGACCGCGACCUCCAUGUACGCGCUCGCGACUUGGUUUUUCCUGCAUUUUUGGACUUUCUUUUUCCAUUGAGGUUAGGUAGAAACCAUGUAGAUAAGGCUAUGUCGCGACAUAGAAUAGCAGAUCUGCGCCCCAUACAGUUUGGAACUCCGGCUACAGGCCGUUGAGUGGAUAUGAUUAAACCGUGCGGUGCGAAUCCGGUUAGGGGCACCAAAACGGACAAUAUUGGCAUAGGCGAAUCCGGUUAGGGGCCUAUAGCAUACAGUUUUACCCAGUUUCAUACAGUUUAUCUUAUCACUUCGGUUUCACUAUAACCUUAUGGAGCCAUUCAGAUAUCUUGACAUAACAUUUCAUGAAUUAUACAGGAUUAUAAACAGUACAAAAGAUAAUCAAGAUAUCAUGAAAGUAUCAUAAUGUGUGAGCUUAUAUGUGCCAUAUAUGUUUCCAUGGUUCUUUCUAUAUAUGUAUGUGUUUAAUUGUUUCUUUAUUUGUUGAGAUAUCCACUGAGCAUUAUUUGCUCAGCGAGUUACCUGUUUAACUCGCAGGUUUUGAGACUGGUCCAUAGAGAGUCCGCGUACAACUGCUGCAGUUCAUCUGUAGAAGACUCGGUCUUCAGGGUAGAAACUCAUUUUGUUUUUCUUUUUAUGGCAUGUACAGGGCAUUCCUUUGGGCCCAUUUCCUUUUGUAAACUUGUAUCAUGUUUUGUAAAUAUAAAUUACAUUAUUUUUGUAAACAGUACCAGCAUGUUAUUAUAUUCAAUAUAUAGUAUGUUUUCAGCAUGUCAGACCAUACAGUCAACCAGUUUGUAGCAUCUCGACUCGGUUCAUUCGGGUUUACGGGUGGACCGGGAAGGGGUGUUACAUAAGGUCUUCCUAACUACCCUGAAAGGAGCAUCUCAAGAAUGGUAUCAAACGCUCAAACAUGAUCCAUUCAUUCCUUCUCCUAGUUAGCCACAACAUUCUGAGCUCGUUUCAUAACAUGUAUACUAUCGAGGAAAAUAUUGUCUGACUUGGUAGAUUUAAAAAGAGAAGAGGGAGCCCUAAGGCAAUACGUAUCCAAAUUUCAAAGAAUGGCGAUGCAAGUGGAGAACUUGAAUGAUGAGUUGGUCAUUAGCUCUAUGGCAAAAAAUUACAGGUACUAAGAAAUCAUGGAAAGAGAAACCUUGGUUUGCCUAAAACAUCCUCAGCUUAAAUAAACAUAAAUGCAAAAUUCAUAGUUUUGGAAAAAGCCAGGACAAUAGAAAGGUAGAAUAAGACAUGCUUGGCUCUGGUGGCUGAUGAGACAGUUAUUGUGCACUUCCAGUUAUGGGGAGAUGAGUGUGAUGCUUUUCAAGCUGGUGACAUUGUCCGUAUUUUCGCUCCCUCAAAUUAAAUUUAUAAAACUUAUUAUUUCUUUCUCUUUUUUUUUUUUUUUUUGAUAUUAUGUAAUGGCUAUGGAAGAUACUCAUAAAAAAUAAGGUAAUUUCCCAUGUCACCAUAUGCUUCCUUCCCCAUAUUUAGUUCAUGUUGCAAAGUGCCAAUAUAUAUAGGGGUGGCUAUUUCACGUUUUUUGGAACCGAAAUCAAAACUGGAACCGUGAAGAACUGGAAUCAGUCCAAACGGGAAUUGAAACUAGGGGUUUGUGGUCCGAUUCUGGUUCCAACAUUUGAGAAACCAUGAACCACGGUUCCAAGAACCGACCGAAACCAACAUUUUUUCAAUCGAUUAGAACCGACUAUUCCAAACAAAUUUGAAUUUUUAGGUUUAACAGCUAGAACUGGCGGUUCCAUCCGGUUUCAACAACUUUUUUUAUUUUUCAAAUAUUUUUGUGAAAUCCCCAAAAUAACCGUCCUAACAACUAUAAAACGCUAUAUAAUGGCUAGUUUUAAAGGUAUUUGUGGAAAGUUUAUUUUUUGGAUUUACUAUUGAUACCCAUUUUCAUUUAUGCUCUCAAAUAAAAUUAUCUCUACUCACUACUAUCUACUCUAUAUUACUCUCUACUCUACAAUCUCUCUAAUUUUCAUUUAUAAUUUUGUCAAAAUUAUUGUCAAAUAAUUUGUCUAAAGUCCAAUCUUCGAUUAUUGUCAAAAUAAGUUCGAGCCUUUUUUUUAUUUUUUCUUAAAAUUUUUUAAAAAAUUAUUUCAUAAAUAUUUAAAUUUUAAAUUUUCAACAAGAAAAUAUUCCCCAAUUUUUGAUUUUGUAAUUAUGCGAUUCGCCGAAAAAUCAGCCGAAAUCGUCGAUUUUGAAACCGUUAAGGAAUCAGAACCAUACGAUUCCACAGCAUAACUGGAACUAUCAGUUUCCACUUCCAAAUUUUUGGAAUUUGAAGCCGAAACUAUGACCACCCCUAAAUAUAUAGGUGUCAUGAUUAAUUUCCUCGAUCCAUUUCAUCAACCACCAUAUGUUUUGAAAACAUUACAUGACAAUGGGAAUGGCCUUCCAAUUAAACUAAAUUUAAGUUUUAAGCAUGCAAAGCUUUCGGUUUAGAUUCUUGCAAUUAAAAUAAAUUUGCUCUUUGAACCGUGAUUUAGUUUAGAUUUUUUUGAAAGAAAGUAUUUGGAGCGGUAUCAAAUUAGGGUGAAUGGGUCAUUUUGUAGAUUUUGCUAUGCUGUAAACCUACAGAUUUUGCUAUGCUGUCAACCUACGUGGAGAAAAUGUCAGUCUACGUAAAUAGACACAUAAGCGUCUAUGGAUCCCAAUUAGUCCCAUUAGAUAUUCCCGAUUGUCCAUGUACAUCAUGAGAUACCAAAUUAAAAAAAAAUUAUAAAUUUAGAUACUCAAUUGUCACAAUUUUCUAUUCACACACCAAAAUAAAAAAAAAUAUAACAUUUUAAUACCAGAUUAACGUUAUACCUUUAUUUUAUGUUUGUCUCUAAUAGGAAAGAAUGCAUGACAUUUAGUUAGUGUAAUAAUGGAUAAAAAUAAUAAUCCCUUUAUUCUAAAAGAAUAAUUUUCAUUGUUUUUACAUUUUUACAUAAAUUACGAAUAGGUAGUUAAAUUAGUUCAAUUUUACACGCAUUUAUCCUUCUUUUCCUAUAUAUACCCAAUAUAUUAAUAAUUUUUUGAUUAAAUUUUGAAAUUGUUUAUAAUGUUUUUCAAUUAAAAAUUAAUAUCUCGGCAUAUGUUUCAAUUACUUUAUAUUUAUAUUUGACUAAAUAUUUAGUAAUUCUAUUAACAUUAAUUAUUGACACAAAUUAUAAUAAGGGUAUUAUAGGAAAAUUAAUAAAAAGACUAUUUCUAAAAUGGAAAUGAGACUAUUAUUUUGGGACACCAUUUUGGAUAGUGAAAAUAUUUUUUUAGGAUGAAGGGAGUAACUUAUUAAGGGCGAAAGAUAAUUGAAUGGAUUUCAUCGCACCUGAAUGUAACAUAAUAACAGAAAAGGGCAAAGCCGAAAAUCAAUAAAUGUUUAUGAAGGGUUACAAAUUGGAAUUCUACAUUCUCAUAUGGUUGUUUUUGAAGCCCUUCUUGCAAGAAUGACCCAACAAAGAACACGAUAGAAAACAAAGAAGCCCAACAUAACCCCCACAUUAAUCCAUCUAUUGUCUUUUUCAAGUCCUCUACUCUUCAACACAUCAUUCCCAGUAACCAAACACUGAGAAUGAUUUUCUUGAUAAUGCCAAGAAAAACACUCAUUUCUCAAACUCCAAUACUCAUUUACCAGAAGACUAUCUAAUGGGUAUCUGUAUAGAGAAAUGUAAUACAUAAAAAUCCAAUACUUAGGAAUAUUUUCUUUGGGUAUAAAAUACCCAGAGAAAAGGAAAAAAGCACCAAGAACUGUGCAUAUUAAAGAAUUCCCUGAAAUAAAAUCAGGAGAAAUAGCACUUAGAAAAAGAACUAAAGAAGAAGCCAUCAAGACUAUUAACCAAACAAUAAAAGUAAAGAAUGUGAAAGCCGAAAUGGAAGGGUUAAGCCCUACAAGCCAAUAAAUUGGAAUAGAGAAAAUAACAGCAACAGCAAGCAAGAAAGGCAAGAAAAUAAUUGUAUUGGCGAUUAUGUAAGAGGAAAUGCUAUAAGCUGCUCUAGAAGCUUCUUUCAUUAGAACUCUUCUUUCUUGAAGAAAUAUUGGAAGAGCUUCAACUGUAGAAGAAAGAAGAAAGCUAAGGCUGAAGGCAAAAAGCCCUAAUCUUUCUGCUAUUCCUUCUUCAUCUUUUUUAACUUUGAUAUAUACACUAGCUAAACCAAACCCACCAACUAAUGCUUGCAGUGUUCUUGCCAAUAGUAGUUGCUUUGUUCUGUAAAUGACUUUCGAAAAUCUCGAGCAAAGAUAAAUAAUCUCAUGCAAAUGUAAAAGAGAAGAAAUACCCUUUUUUUGAAUACCUUGUUCUAUUUGAAAAGCUGAUUCCUCUUGCCAAAUUGAGUAUUGCAAAGGAGAUAUAUAAGUUAUGGAUUUUGAAUGCUCACCAAGUGUUUGUAUAAUUUCCAUAGAAAACUCGAGAGCAUUGAGUUGCAUAGGAACUUGAAAUCCCAAAUUAUAUAUUGUCUCCUCCAGUGAUUCUAAGCUACCAUUAUAAACCACACAACCAUUAGAAAGGAUUAAGAAGUUAUUAAUAAAUCCAAGUAUUCUAUAACUUGGUUGGUGUAUAGAAAAUAAAAUUGUUCUGUGUUUUUCUUUUGCCAUAUUUGAAAGUAACUCAAUAACUUGAAGAGCUGAGGUACUGUCUAGGCCUGAAGUAGGCUCAUCAAGAAGCAAAAUUGGCGGGUCAUUAAUUACAUCAACGCCUAUGGAUACCCUUUUUCUUUCUCCACCUGAUAUGCCUCUAUUCUCUUCAUCACCAACAAAGCUAUUGGCAACAUGCGAUAGGCCAAGCUCUAACAUUAAACUCUCUACCCUCUUCUCUUUAUCUUUUGUACUCAUUUCUUUGAGUCUAAAUUUUGCACCAUACAUUAGAGUUUCUUUCACUGUCAGUAAAGGAAGCAAAUUAUCUUCCUGUGCUACAAAUCCACAUAUCUUCCUUAACUGAGCUGGCUUAUAUAUAAACCGAUCGUUUAUGGAUACACUCUUUGGAUUAAAAUCUUUGUCUUUAACUCUUCCAGAUAUUAUCCGAAGAAGAGUAGAUUUUCCAGUCCCACUUGGACCAACAAUGGCAAGAAGUUCAGAGCUUCUUGCUUGAAAAGAAACUGAUUGAAGUAUGUUAAUAGGCUUAGGCUUUUGGCCUACGUGAAAGAAUGAAGCAAACGUUGACUCACAAGAAGAAAUGGUAUAGGAAAGAUUUGUUACAGUAAGUUUGUAAGGCACUUGUGAAUGGUGUUGAGGUGGCGGUGGUGAGUGGCGGGAAGAGGAGGAGCGGCUGGUGGAUUCCUCAGAAGUUGAAAAGAGAAUAACAGAGUCAUCUUCUAUUGUUGGUUGAUUGAAACAAGAAGGCACUUUUGUUAGCUCCAUUUAGUGGAUAUGGAAGCAUAUGCAAAUGCAAAUGCAAGUGGAGAGCCUUUUAAGUGGGAAUUUUAUUGAGAUUAUGUGAAGUAUGGUGUGGGAGUUGGGCCAACCAAGUUAAAAUUCUUGAUUGCUUGAAGAAUUAAUUAGGAUUUGGUUAGUGUUUGGUGAUCUGGGAAGGUUGACUAUUUUACAUUGCUUAUCAGAAGUUUCAAAGUAAUAUUUCAUUUCUAUACAUUUCAAAUUUCUUGAUGUUGGUGAUGAUUAAGGUGCUAUCUCCAUUAAUGAUAAUGGUUCAAUUUUUUAUAAACAGGAUUAUUUUUUUACUUCUAAUAAUUAUGGAUUUUUUGUGUUUUAUGUGAAUAAUUUAUUUUUAAUUAGACUGAACUACUUAAUAAUAUACUCAAAAAUUAAUUCAUGAUACUAUCUAAUAUAUAUAUAUAUAUAUUCUUAGGCCGUUUAUAUUGUCAUUGAACCUAAUACGUAAUUUAGUCUUUGAAUAUAUAAAACCAUACGCUAAAAAUGGUAGGUGAGAAAAUACUCAGAUUUUCGCAAGGAAGGAACCACAUUAACAAAUGGGUUUUCCCUCGAAAUACAAAAAAAAAGAAUAACAAUAAUGUUUUCAAGAUCAGAAGUGAAGUGAGACAAUGACUAACAAAGCUUGGGCCAGUGUCAUAUAACAAGUGGGCCGGACCGAAGUGAUGUACGCAAGAUGAGCCCAUUGGCUCUUACCAGUUUCUAAUGGGCUCUUACCCGAAUCUCCACCGCGGUUGUGGAAAGUGAAAGUAAUCAUUCCCCUCCUAUCAAACUUUAAAAAUUAGUAAGGGAAAAAUAAUUAUUUGGUCCCUGACGUUUGGUCAAAUUAAUUAACUCGUUCGAGCAAUUUGACAAUAUUAUCUUGAGGUUUAACUCCUUGAGGUUUAACUCCAUCAGCCUACUUAGUUUUUCUGCUCAUUUUUUUUUGAGUUAAAAUACGUGAAAAAAUAAGAAAAAUGUGAGACAAUUAAUUUAAAAUGACAUUACUUGCCCUUUAACCUAACCUACCUUUUUUCCUAUUUCUUGCGCAAACAAUAGCGGUAUCUUACCCUUCAUAUUAUGAUGGUAAAUCAGAUAUUGGAGCCUAGGUGUUCAAAUUCUACCAAACCUGAAUUGGCCUAUACUGGCAUGCUCAUUCCACGAAACGACGAUUCAAGGAUGCAUACUCCUCUAUGACAAGAGUUCGUUGUCAAUUACUUCACGAUACUCCUUGAUGCUUGGGUACUAAGCUUUGGUCCAUUUCAACAUAAAUUCCUGAAUUGGAUUUCGAUAAAGUCGUUGUAGCUCCCAAAAUCAUUGAAAAAUUAUAGACAUUUGUGUCUUCUCCCAUUUUAACAAAAAAAACUAAGCUGCAUAUAAAUGAUUUCAGAAACAAAAAGGAAGAAAGUAGACUUUUAAGACUUGGCAUUGUGUAUAUGGUCAAAUAUUUAAUAUUCAUGCUUUGAAAUCUAGGCGUUAGUUAAUAUCUAUUUGUAGCAAAUGUUUUGAUUUGAAUGUAUGGAUUUUUUGGUGGGCUGUAGUUGUCACACAAGAUGUUUGAUCAAAUGCCUGGUACAGAUUUACUUUCUUGGGACUCUUAAUUAAAACGUUAUGUAAUCGGUGAACAGUUAAGAAGAGAGAUGAUAAGGAUGGAGAGAAAGAGAGUUGUUUGAUUGUUUUGGAGAAAACAGAUAGAGAGGAGAUAGAGAGGGUUGUUUAGUCCUCUGCAUGUUUGUUGUUGAUGGUGCAUUGGUAUGGACGGAGGAAGAGAUUGACAACGUUAUUUUAGUAUUUUUAUUACUAAAUAUCAAGGUAUUUUUCGUCAUUUCCCGUGAUUUUAACAACAAAUUUUGACAAUUUGGACGGAAUGACUAAAUAGUCUAAUAUGGUUAAUCCUCAGGAAUCAUUAAUUAAUAUUGUUAAACUGCAGGGACGAGUUAAUAAAUUUAGUCAAACGUCUGGGGGAUGAUAUAAUUAUUUUUUCAAUUAUUAAUUACAUUAUUUUUGGAUCACUUCCAAUGUCAAUAAAAUUAGGCAGGUUUUUCGCUCUUGGUUUAUUCGGAUUUCUCAUAUUUUUAUGUAAUAAAUUUUGGUCAAAUACGAAAAAUUGUCUACGAAAACUUUUUCUAUGAAAACUUGUCUGUCACAUAACCCAAUCCUUUUGUCUGUCGCUCUCUUAUCUUUACCAAAACUAUUUCCAUUGGUUAACAUGAUUCCAUUUUUAGACUUUCGACAGCAAUCAACGCUUAUGGUUAAAUAACUUCCAGCCAUCAUUGACAAUGAUCGAAUUACCCAAAAUUUAUUCAAAAUCUGGAGGAAAUAUAUCUUAGAAUUUUGGGGAAUAUUUUUGCACCGCUUUUAUAAUUUUUCGGGCAGAGGAAUAUUUAUCGAAUAUUUAUUUAUUUUUUAAUUCAGGGCUAAAUAAGGUGUAAAUAAAAGAUAACGUGCUAUUAGAUGUCACCAGGUAAACAAUCUAUCAUUUUCGAAAAGGUAUAAAAUCACUCGUGGUUUAGAAACUGUUCUGCAAAAUUACCUGUUUUAAUAUCGUUUAGUUGUUUGAUGUUUGAGUAACUUUUCAUAAAACGCUAAAUGUUAAACGUUACAUGAGUUAAUUUUUUAUAAAACGUUACCUUAACUUUUAGAAGUUACUUCAAACGUUAAGUUAUCGAACACUAUAAAAAAAUAGUGUUUAGUGUUUUGACUAAAAAUUAUUUAAAAAGUUAUUACCGAACAUAGAUUUAGAAUUAUAUGCCGGCAAAGUAGACGGGUAAGUGGUUGUGCAAAUUUGAUUAAUCCAAUAUAAACUUGUCAAAAAUAUAAUACCCCUUAACCUUGUUAGCAAUUUCUUCUGCAGAAGGGCGGACAAACGCCUAUAAAAGCGUUUGUAUUAGAAGUAAAAGGGUUCGUCUUGGUCCCUAUAUAUACCCAUGUAUUUGAAGUUUUAUGAUAUAGUAGAACACCACAAAUUAAGUUUUUCUUUCCUCUUCCUUAUAAUUCUAACAAAGGGCUUAGACCAUUGGUUAUUUGGCUUUAGGAGACAUAAAUGGCUUCUCAUUUCAAUUCCUUCGUUUUACAAACCGAUUUCUAGUCUGGUCUGAUAUGGUUCUAUUUUUUUCUGCAAACUGGACAACUUUAAUUUUAAACACAAAAAGUUAAAAGUUUUAUUCUAGAAAAAUGGAUCAAAUGGCUGAGACGUAAAAUCUUUUUCAAAAAGUCAUUGGUUUAAAUCUUGAAAUCCACAAUUUUUUUCUUUAAAAAAUCAUACCUUGAAAUCCACUAACUUCUUUUUUUUUUUUUAAAAAAACAUUCCCUGAUAUCCUCCAAAAUCUUUUUUUUUUUUUAAAAAAACAUUCCCUGAUAUCCUCCAAAAUCUUUUUUUUUUUUUAAAAAAACAUUCCCUGAUAUCCUCCAAAAUCUUUUUUUUUUUUUAAAAAAACAUUCCCUGAUAUCCUCCAAAAUCUUUUUUUUUUUUUAAAAAAACAUUCCCUGAUAUCCUCCAAAAUCUUUUUUUUUUUUUAAAAAAACAUUCCCUGAUAUCCUCCAAAAUCUUUUUUUUUUUUUUAAAUUUCAAAAAUAAAAAGGUCAAAAAAUUACAAAUUACUGAUAAAUGGCCUAACCAACAAUUCACUAACUUUCAAUUUCAGUCUAAAUGACCUUUGUACCUUGGACAUCCUGAACUUAUCAAUUCAGUUGUAAUUACACUCUAAUUUGCUUUUAGGUUACAAUUGCUCCCUAAAAGUGAAUUAAAGCACCAUGAACUUAUCGAUUUGUUGUAAUUUCACCCUAAAAACAAAUUAAGGUUGAAAUUAUAAACUAAGACAAUAUAAAGAUGGACUCCAUAACCAAUCCAAACUUAGUGCAGUAUAUAAUAUUUGAAUUAAAAGAAAGAAUUUAUAAUUUUGCGUCUUUUGUCCUUCGACUUAUUGUCUUUUUUCCUUGUAGGAAAUUAAAUAUCGGCUGCAACGACAAUGAUAAAAAAAUCUCCAUAUUUUUCUCACCAUCCUAGAAAGUGUAACCUUGAAUUAGUAUCCAACUCAUUACUUUUGCAUCUUAAAAUUUGUUUAAUUUUAAAAUUAAAGAUGCAAUCUUGAUUUUUUUUUCGAAUUAUAUGAAUACUUGCAUUUUUUUUAUUUAUUGUUUAAAACACUUGAAUUGGUUAUAGACUCUAUUUUUUAUACGUUUUAAUUGUAAUUCCAAUCUUAAAUUUAUUUUUAGGAUGAAAUUAUAACAAAUCGAUAAGUUCAGGGUGCUCUAAUUUACUUUUAGGAUGUGAUCAACAAAUUGAUAAGUUCAUGGUACUGUAAUUCACUUUUAGGGUACAACCCUAAGCAAAUUAAGGUAUAAUUGCAACUAGAUUGAUAACUUUAGAGUGCUCAGGAUAUAAAGAUUGAUUUAGAAUGAAAUUGCAAUUACUCAAAAAGUUCAAGGUGAAAUUGUUUGUUAGGCCCAAAACAAUAGUCUAAAUUUUCUUAAAAAUCAACUUUAAUAUGGUGUAACCAAUUUCUAAAAAAUUCUUAUUUUGUAACUAAUAGUUAUUUUUUAAUUUAUUUAAUAAAAUAAUAAAAUUUUAAGUUAAUUAGCACACAAAUACUUUUAUAUUUUAUAUGAUUUAUGAAUGAUUUAAAUAUUACAAUAACAUCAUAUGUAUUUUACACAAAUAUGAUCAUUGUGUGUAUUUAUGCAAGCUACAAAAAGAGCAUACAUGUCAAAGGUUCCAUAUGCGAAUACUAUUGAUAGUUGAUGUAUGUUAUAGUGUGUACAAGGCCUGACAUUUCGCAGGCAAUUGAAUUUGUGAGCAGGUAUGUGAAUGAUCCUACUAAGGAGAAUUGACAAGUUAUAAAAUGGAUUCUAUGAUACAUUCUGAACAUCAGGGAUGUUGGACUGAUCCUUGAAUAGGAUAAAGAAGUCAAUCAAUGUGCAGUUGGUUACUGUGAUUCUGAUUAUGCUAGUGAUUUGGAUAAACGUUGGUGAACUAUUGGCUAUAUAUUUACUCUUACUAAAGCACCGAUGAGUAGAAAGUCUACUUUACAGUCAAUACAAAGGCAUAUUAUAUGGUAAUUACAAGGCUAUUAAGGAGGCAUUUUGACUUCAAGAAUUGCUUAUUGAAUUGAGAGUUAGACAAAAGCACAUAAAAGUGCAUUGUGACGAUUAGAGUGCUAUUCAUUUAAUAAAGAAUCAAAUUUAUCAAGCAAGGCCGAAGCUUAUUGAUGCUCGAUAUCCCUUUGUGCUAGAGAUUUUAGAAGAAGGUGUUAUACUGUUUGAAAAGAUCAUGACAAAUAGAAAAUCAUGCUGAUAUGAAGACAAAAGUAGUGAUCCAUUUUUCAUGAUGUUAUACACGGAUCAAAUAUAUCAUGGCAAAUUUUUUAGAAAAAAUCGACCAUCAAGUUCAAAAAUUGUUUAAACUUGUUUGAACUUGAUAAAUAACAUUGAAAAUUGAAGUUGCACUUUAUGUGCAUUUUGAAGACACUACAUCAUUGUGAGAGAAUUGAAAGAUUGUAACUAAGGAAAUUUCACCAACGUGGCGAUUUUUUGGCAUAUGUAGCUCAAUCUCACAUUGGUGGGCAUAAAAGGUGAGGCGGUAGCUUCGACUAUAAAACUAACCCCUCCCAAUUAUUGAUAUACCAUCUGCAAAAGCCAUCUGUUUUUUACAUAGACAUUUGGCUUAGCUAUCUCUUUUCUCCAUUUGUAAUAUUUCUUUUGUUAGUGAAAUAUUAUUUGGAUAGUGUCAGAGGACAUAGGCAAAUGAAUGAACCUCAUUAAAUUUGAUGAGUUUUCCUUUUUGUCCAUUUUAUAGUUUAUCUUUGUGCAUUUUAUUUUAUAAUUUUUUUAUUGGUGUGCAUAGUGAUAUAUUGUGCUAUUAAUUAUAUGCCUAGGUUAUUGAAUUUUAAGUGGGAUUGCUUGUGACCCAUCCAAUCAUUUAGAAAUUUAUUUGGUGUAACUUUUCUUUUUGCAAAAACAAGAAAUUAUUAUUAUCAUAAAAUAAGAGUACAAGAGGUGAAGUUAUCAAGUACUACCAAGAGCAUAUAAGAUUUAUUUAGAAAGAAAACAUGGUUGUUAAAAUAGUAUAUGUUUAAGGGAAGGGAGAAUAACCCAUUGGCAACUGCUAUGCUAUGGUGCCAAGCUUCCUUUACGAUGAUCGUCCAAAGUUUAGAUUUGAUCUUUGACAAACAAAAUCUAGUGCAUAAAUCCAUCUUGAUGUGGAGAAUUUACCAGUUCUCCUUUAUAUCAAGCCACUUCCAUGUAAGAUUCUUAUCAAGACCUUCCUUAAGUGUGACAUCCUACUGAAUUGAGUUGUUUCAUUUAGCAAGUCGAGUCGAGUCGGAACGAACCAGAACACGGUUCAAGCCAUAAAAAUUAAAUAAAUCAAAGACUUGGACUUAAUUGAAUGAAACAUAAAGAUGUAGACUCAAUUGCAAUAAAAGUAUAAGGAUUAGGACCUAAUUCAAAUAAAGUAUAAAGUUUAGGUAUUAAAUGGUAAAAUAUUGAAAAUUUAGGUACUAUUUGGUAAUUUUGUAACAAACUAGAAGAUAUAUUUGGAGGUUACCCGAAAAUUCCAUUCACUUUACCUUCUCCAUCUUCUCCUUUGUCUUCUUCCUUCACUUUACCUUCUCCAUCUUCUCCUUUGUCUUCUUCCUUCACUUUACCUUCUCCAUCUUCUCCUUUGUCUUCUUCCUUCACUUUACCUUCUCCAUCUUCUCCUUUGUCUUCUUCCUUCACUUUACCUUCUCCAUCUUCUCCUUUGUCUUCUUCCUUCACUUUACCUUCUCCAUCUUCUCCUAAAUCUUCGUCCAUUUUCUACCUUAAUAUUCAACCUUUCAAGCAUCAAAUUCAAUCUAUAUCUCUAUCCAAGUAAGUUGAAUUUCUUGAAUUGCAUAAUUUUGCAUAAUUUAGGGAGAUUUUGGAUGAUUAAUAAGAUGUUAUUAUGUAUAGGAGAGGUGAGAUCAAAGUGAGAAGAAAAAGGAAGCUAAGAAGAAGGUUUAAAGCUUUUUGGUUAAAGGUUUGAUAUCUCUGUUAGUUUAACAAAUUUUCUUGCAUGAGAAUAUGUGUAGUGUGAUGAUAGUGAUAAGAUAUGUUGCUGCAUGUUGAGUAAUAGGUUUGAGAAGGUUGAUUAUGCAUGGGAUGCAUUGAAUAAAUGAAUUGGAUAUUGAUUUCAUGCUGUAAUAGGUUUGUUCGAAAACUGACCAGUAAAUUCAACCAGAAUUUGAACUUGUUUACCGAUGGAAUUAGGAAGUGGUAUAGAAGAGUUAUUUUUUCCUUUAUGUUUUAGCUGUCUAUGAGCUUUGGAAUCACCUAAAUUGGACUUAUAAAUUGAAAGAUAUGCCCAAAAUAGUACAAACUNNNNNNNNNNNNNNNNNNNNNNNNNNNNNNNNNNNNNNNNNNNNNNNNNNNNNNNNNNNNNNNNNNNNNNNNNNNNNNNNNNNNNNNNNNNNNNNNNNNNNNNNNNNNNNNNNNNNNNNGAAUUUAGAAUCACCUAAAUUGGCCUUAUAAAUUGAGAGAUAUGACCAAAAUGGUACAAACUGUGCAGGCUGGAAACCAACAGCCGGGCAGACUAGAAGUUGCUACUUUAAUUCAAUAUUUGACUACUUUACCAACAUAUUUCAGAGAGGUUUUGUACCCUAAUGUGUUAGCUAACCAUAGAAUUUAGAGUCACCUAAAUUGGCCUUAUAAAUUGAGAGAUAUGACCAAAAUGGUACAAACUGUGCAAGCUGGAAACCAACAGCAGUGCAGACUGGAAGUUGCUACUUUAAUUCAAUAUUUGACUACUUUACCAACAUAUUUCACGGAGGUGAUAAAAGACAUAUUUGUACCCUAAUGUGUUAGCUAACCAUAGAAUUUAGAAUCACCUAAAUUGGCCUUAUAAAUUGAGAGUUAUGCUAGAAUUUGUGAAACAUGUAUAGGCUGCCCUGACACAUUAGAAAUGCUGUUGGAAUGCAUAUGUAGAUUCAUUCAGCCUAAGAUNNNNNNNNNNNNNNNNNNNNNNNNNNNNNNNNNNNNNNNNNNNNNNNNNNNNNNNNNNNNNNNNNNNNNNNNNNNNNNNNNNNNNNNNNNNNNNNNNNNNNNNNNNNNNNNNNNNNNNNNNNNNNNNNNNNNNNNNNNNNNNNNNNNNNNNNNNNNNNNNNNNNNNNNNNNNNNNNNNNNNNNNNGAUAUUACUUGUAGUUGUCUAUGAAAUCCUUUUAAAGCAUGAAACAAGUUAGCGACGUAUAGAAUGAGACAGCAUACAGGUAAACAGUAUGGUUUAUGCAUUUUAAGAACAAUACAGAUAAUACGCUCCACUGAGGUUAGGUAGAAACCACGUAGAUAAGGCUAUGUCGCGACAUAGGAUAGUAGAUCUGCGUCCCAUGCAGUUUGGUACUCCGGCUAUUGGCCAUUGAGUGGAUAUGAUUUAUAUACGGGUUAUAGCAACCCAGCCAUACAGUAUUCAUCCAGUUUCAUACAGUACUUCUUAUCACCUUGGUUUCACUGUAACUUUAUGGAGCCAUACAGUUAUAAAAUUGUGUUAUUUAUAAAUUAUACGAUGUUUAAUAAAAAUUUCAUAAUUCAUACAGUAUAAUGAACACCAGGUAAGACCAUGAAAGUAUAAUGAUAUGUGUGCUUACAUGCUUAAUUAUUUAAUUCUUAUUAAGUUGAGAUAUCCACUGAGCUUCAUUUGCUCAGUGAGUUACCUGUUUUAACUCGCAGGUUUUGGGUCUGGACCGUAGAGAGUCAUCUUUACAACUGCUGCAGUUCAUCUUUUGAAGACCCAGUCUUCAGGGUAACUACUCAUUUUGAUAUUUUGGUUCUGUGGCAUGUACAUGGCACAUAGUUGGGCCCAUUUCAUUUUGAAAAAUAGUGUAAUGUCUUGUAUAUAUUACAUCAAUGUCUGUAUAUAAAUGAUGUAUAAAGCAACAACAUGACAUAAUAUUUAGCAUACAGGAUGAUAUCAGCAUGACAUGACAUAGGUUCAACCAGAUUGUAGCGUCUCGGCUCGGUUCAUUCGGGUUCACGGGUGGACCGGGAAGGGAUGUUAAUUAAGUGAUUGCCCCAAACUGAGAAGAUGAGGAGACCUUAAGUAGAAACCAAAAGUAAGAAAUAAAUCCGUGGAGUUUGUCUCGAGAAACAAGGCAAAUAUAUAUAAGGGAUUGGGCCCAUAAAGGCAACAAAGAAGAGAAAAAAAAAAAAGCUAACAAAAAAGGAAGAGACGAAAAGAGGGUCACCAUCGGCUAAAUAGCUAUUGUUGGUGACCAUCCAAACGAGAAAAACAAAUGAGCUUUGGUUUUUUAGAGGGAAGGAGGAGAGUUUUUUUUUUUCUUUUUUUUUAAUUUAAGGAUUCAACUUUGGUGUAAUUUUUUAGUAUAAUUGUUCACGUGCUAUACACAUAUUGGUGAAAAAUACUAUUCACCUGAAUCUAAAUAGCAUCCUAAUGUAUAUAUCUCAAUAAGCCAUUAUAUUUUAUAACUUAAAAAUUAAGUUAGGGUAUCUAAUAGAUUAAAAGUAAUAACUUUUUACUUAUUACUUGCCCUUCAACAAUAGGAAAAAACAAAACCCUCUUUUUCUCUAGUAAAACGAAAAAAUAAUCUCAAAUCAUGUUCUUCAAUCAAGAAUUAAGAAGAUAAUACCAACAAUGAAGAAUUUGUAUGUCUCCUAUUCCCUUUUAAUCUAUUUUAUUAUUCUUAUUUUUGUUUCUACAAGAGAUAUAUAUGAUUCUAAAUUUGUUUAGUUAUGAAAUUUAAGUUUAAAAAUAGAAUUUGAAUACCAAAACCUUAUUUGAGUUCUUAUGUUUCAUUAGGUGAAUCUAGAAUUGAAUGUCACCUUGGUUUUUUUAAUUAAAAACUGCAAAUUGAAAAGCUUUGUCAAUUUCUUUUUUUUUUUCUUUUUGUUUCAUCACAUAUAUACGAUUCUAUAUUUAUUUAGUUAUAAAAUUUAAGUUAAAAAUAGAAUUUGAGUACCAAAACCUUAUUUGAGUUAUUGUGUCUAAUUAGGUGAAUCUAGAAUUGAACAAUAAACUUUAUUUUAUUACCCUUAAUAGGGAUAAUUGCAAUUUUAGUGUAUGAACUUUUAAAAAAUUUCCAUUUUGGUGUAUGAAUGGAAAAAGUUUACAAUUUGGUGAAUCAACUCCUACAAUUUUAACGAUUAAGUGAAUUUUGCAUAAGUGGACAAUCAGAAAUCCUUGUAGAACGAUUAGACCCCACAUUAUCAAUUAUGUGUCGUUGACUGCGAGCUAAUUAAGAUGCCAUAUGAAUUGCCACCUAGAUUAGAUGCACUGUAAGCAAGAAAUGAGUCAUUUACCCUUUCUCUAUCUCACCCUCCUCUUCCUCUCUCUCUCUCUCUCUCUCUCUCUCUCUCUCUCAAACAAUCAUCAAAAGGAAAACCUUAGAAAUGGAUAUGGAAAAAAUCCUAAGUUAUUACAUAAGAUUACAGUGCAAAAGUCUAGGGAUUUUAUGAAUCAAAAUCAGCAUAUUGAGAAGGUAAUUGAAAAACAAUAUUGUCAACAAAUUGAAAAUAAUCGCCUAAGAUUAAAAGUCUCACGUGAUGCUGUUAGAUGUUGACAUUCCAAGCAUGUGCUCUAAGAGGUCAUAAAGAAAGCUCCAAUUCAAAAAAUAGGGGGUAUUUCAUUGAACUUGUUAAACUUUUGAGUUUUUAUAAUGACAAAAUGGAAUCGGUAGUUUCAGAAAAAUGCUCCUCAAAAUGCAUCUUACAUUUCGCCCAAAGUUGAAAAACAAAUUUUACAUGUCAUAUCUAAUGAGAUUCGACAUGCAAUCCGUGAUGAGAUUAAUAAUGAGAAGUUUUGCAUUAUUAUUGAUGAGGCUCGUGAUGAAUUAAAAAAGGAGCAGAUGGUCAUUAUGUUGAGAUUUGUUGAUAAAGAUGGCUAUGUACAAGAGCAUUUUUUUGAACUAGUUCAUGUCCUUGAUACUGGUGCUUUAACUUGAUACUAUUACAAGAAAUUUUAGAUGUCCUUGCUAGGCACAACUUGAAUAUAAAAAAUAUUCGGGGUCAGGAUUAUGAUGGAGCUAGUAAUAUACGUGGGGAGUGGUCUGGACUAUAAGCUUUAUUUUUGAGUGAAUGUCUAUAUAACUAUUACAUACAUUGUUUUGUUCAUCGAUUCCAAUUAGCAUUGGUUGCAGCAUCUAGAAUGGUAAUUUCAAUUCUUCAAUUUUUUUCUAAAUUGACUCUCAUCACCAAUGUUGUUACUUCCUCUUUUAAAAGGCAUGAUCAAUUGCAACCUGCCCAAAUUGCUGAACUAGAGAAAUUGAUUACUCAUGAUGAACUUGAAACUAGUAAAGAAUUAAAUCAAAUUGGUACUAUAGAAUGGGCUGAUGAUACUUGAUGGAGUUCUCACUUAAGCUCUUUAGAAGCUUAAUGAAUAUGUUUGAAGCAACUUGUUUAGUUUUGAAAACUAUAAUUGCUGAAGGGACUACUUAUAGCUAAAGGGGAGAUGCUGAUUACGCUUUUAAUACUAUCAAUUCUUUUGAAUUUAUGUUUAUUUUACAUCUUAUGAAAGAGAUACUUGAGAUCGCACAUGACCUUUGUCAAGCCUUAUAAUGCAAGAUAUUCUGAGUGCAAUGUGUUUAAUAUCAACAACAAAAAUGUCGAUUCAGAAAAUGAGAGAAAGUGGAUGAGAUUCACUGUUUAAAAGUGUCUAAUUUUUCUGUGAGAAACAUGAAGUUGAUAUUGUUGGCUCAAGGGUCAAUUUUUAAUCUCAGAUCUUGAUGAUUAAUACAAAACGAAUAAAUUUAAAAUUAUGUUAUUUGUGCUAAUUUUAUUUUUAUGCAGAAUUUUUUUGGAGAGAUAAUCAUACAAGGCAAAUCCUACUUUGAGUGUGAAGAAUUCGAAGACCUAGUAGCUAGGUAUUUAGGAAUACUUUGUAGGAUAGAGAGAAAUUCCAUAUAUGAGCACAAAAAUCCUUUUAUCUCUCAAAAAUAUUUUUCGGAAAAUUAGUUUUCUUUAAAAUAAUCUAUUUUCGAAAAUAUUCCUUCAAAUCGAAAAGAUUUAUUUUCCUAAAACUAAAGAAAUUUCUUCUCUAAUGUUUUUGGUAAUAAAAUCAUUCACCUUUUCGGAAAUAUAUUUUGCAAGAUCUAGAGCAUUUUAAAGUUAUUUUCUUACCAUAAAAAUGAAGGAAAAUCUCUUUCGGUUUUGGUAAGUGCAUCUUUCCGCAAAUAAUUUUUUCUCCACAAAUAAAUGCUGUCGAACAACUUUUCUAAAGGAAAGUGAAAAUCGGAUUUUAUUCUAUUACCAAAAAGGAUAAAAUAAUUUUUGGUAACAAAGAUUUUCAGAUCUUCUAAACAAGGAAAGAAGAUAUUCUGAUCUCUUUCCAAAAAGCGACAGCUCCUUCGUUUUCUAUAUAAAGGAACGUUCACACCUUAAUCAUUUGGUGAAGUAAGAGUAUUUGUUUUAAGAGCACUCUCUCUUGAUCAAAUCUUUAUCUCUCAAAACUUACUCUCUACCCCCAUUUUCUUUUCAUCUCUACUCUUAACGUUUUCAAUAUUUAAAGUGAAAGUUUUUUUACAAUUUCUUUUUGAAAAACAAUUCUGUGUUCUAAUCGAUCUUCUAAUCUAAUAAGAUUAUUUUUUCUGUGCUUAUAUAGGCGUUUCCUUCUGUCUAUUUAGAAUCUGUAUUCUAUAGUAGAUAGGCUCUUUAUUUGUGAAACUUUUGAGUGUAAUAGCUUAGGUUAGAAGCUAUUGAGAUAGAGGUUAUCAAGCGACCUUCUCCAUGUGUGGGAUAGUAAUGUCUUGAAUCGAGUUUUCUGUACUCUACCAAAAACAGAAAGGGUUGAGGUUAACUAGAACCUUUGGAAAAUCUAGUGGGACAAAAAGGGUAGAUCUAGGUUGUUGAUCUAUUUGCCUUGUACUGUUGGUUUGUCUCUUACCCUUUAAAAGAGAUAACUUAGUGGAGGAUCUCAAGAUGAGUCUUGGGGAGUGGAUGUAGGCGAGUUAGUGCCGAACCACUAUAACUCUCGGUGUUGAUCUCUUUAUUUCUGAAGUUUGGUUGAUACUGUCUCNNNNNNNNNNNNNNNNNNNNNNNNNNNNNNNNNNNNNNNNNNNNNNNNNNNNNNNNNNNNNNNNNNNNNNNNNNNNNNNNNNNNNNNNNNNNNNNNNNNNNNNNNNNNNNNNNNNNNNNNNNNNNNNNNNNNNNNNNNNNNNNNNNNNNNNNNNNNNNNNNNNNNNNNNNNNNNNNNNNNNNNNNNNNNNNNNNNNNNNNUGGUUUUGCAAACUUUAUGAGGAAGUUCUAAGUUCAAUAACUUUCCUUCAUAAAGAAGCUCUGAUAUUGUACAAGUCAGUGUGAAGCUGUUCUAAUCAAUAGCUGCACUUUGCACAGACUUUCUAUAUCUGAAAUUAGAACAUUGUGAGGAGAUUCUAAUCCAUAUUCUACUCUCACAAAGUUCUGUGUGUUUUUCCGCUGCACUUAGAAUUCUAAUUCUUGUUUAGAAUUUCUAAAAUUUAUUUCAGUUUUUAGAAAACCCAAUUCACCCCCCCUAUUGGGUUGUGCCAUACACAUUCGGGACCCACAGAUAUCCCUAAUAUGAAUGCUCAUUAUAAUUCUAGUCGAGCUAGAACCCGCAAUCAAAAAGACCCAAUUACAUUUUAGCAUUAUUUUCGAGUUGAUACAUUCAUUGCUAUCAGUGACUUGUUAGAAAUUUUAAUGGGGGCUACUAUUAAUAGUGGGCUAUUUUAGUUUGUGAAAACGGACUGGAUAAAUACAGUUUAAGAAUAUGUAUGUGGAGCCCAAUUUGUGUUUAUGUGAUCACUUAUGUAAUGGGCUUGUACACCUCUAGUGGGCCAGUAUGGUAAGGCGGUUAAAAGUGUAGGCCUAAUCCUAUAAGGAUUUGUGAUGGGAAGGUUCAUAAGAUUUUAUAUAAAUAGGCUAGGUCCCUUCUCAUUCCUUAACCCUACUAUUGACUAGUCUCAUUGAAAAGCCUCCUUGUGAAUAAGAAAACGGAGAGGAAGAUCUAGUCCCUCUUUUACAAAUUCUGAUUUAGUGUUUGAGCGUCUUGAUUGCAGAUAAUCUUAAAAGAAGAACCGUGAACUCUAUUUUAAAUCACAAAUCAGGUACGCAAAUUGCUUCGGCUUAAUAUUUAUUUGGUGUUCUAAAUUUAUAUACUAGAUUCAUUAAUUUUCUUACAUGACUCACAAUUGCAAAAAUUGAAUGUUAGAUUUAAGGCAGAUUUGAUGGAGUUGUUCAUUCUUAGCUCCUCUUUAGAUCUAAGGGAUGGUUUCAAGUCAUUUAAAAUUGAUGAUGUCUACAGCCUUGCGAAUAAGUUUUAUUUUGAAGAUUUUUUAGAACAAGGAAGAUUACAUUUAAGAUAUCAAUUGGAACUUUUUGUACUUGAUGUUCUACGUUAUCCUAAGAUGCAAUCGCUAUCAACUAUCUCUAAAUUGUGACAAUAUUUAGCUAAAUCAAAGAAGGCAACUAUUUAUCCUCUUAUUGAUAGGUUGGUUAGACUUGUUUUGACUCUUCUAGCCUCAACAACAACUACUGACCAUGGUUUCUCGGCUAUGAGUCUUAUAAAGAAUAAGCUUCGUAAUAAGAUGGCAUAUGAUUUUCUUGCAAAUUCCUUGAUUAUAUAUAUUGAGAUAGAUAUAGUUGAUACUUUGAGUAUCAAUUUUAUAAUUGAUGAGUUUUACACCACGAAAGAGCGACAGGUGUAGCUCAAGACGCGAGAAGACAUCAAGUAUAAAUAUACAAGAUAAAUUGUAAUCUUAGAUGUCUAUUUGAAUUUUCUUCUAUUUUCUUUUAUUAUUCGUUUCGCUAUGUCAUUUUUUUUCUUAUUAUUCUUAUCAGAUUUUUUUCAUUUAACAUGCCAUACUUAAUAUAGUAGGAUAAGAAUUAAAGGAAUCCAUUUGAUUGAUUGUUGUUUUGAAACCCCAUGCUAAGUUUUUUCUGGCUUAAUUAUCAAUGAAAAAAAAAAAUAUUAUCUUCACCCCCAAUCUAAAUUUCUGGCUCGCGCUGUUAAAAAUAGUCAGUUUCUGCAACAUUUGUUAGACUGGGGACCAAAAAUUAGUCCAAGGGGUAAAAAACUUAUUGCCUCGUAGCCAUAGGUUGAUUACGAAUACUGAAAAUCCGUCCAAUCAUGCACUGCGCCACCUUCACAAGUGUAAAGAUUGUGGCCUCAAAAUAGAGUGAUCCCACAAAUAUCUACCUGCCAUUUCCGCAAUUAUUGCUUGGAUAACUCUAAAUAUUCAAUUUGGCUCCUUCUCCUGCAAAAGUUAAUACGUGUCCAUAUCUGAAUCUACUCAUACGUGGGGGCAAACCAAUUAAUAAAAUGAUCAAAUUACUUUAAAUUUAGCCUUGUUUGCUGAUAAAUUUAUUAAUUUUUAAAAUUAUAUUAAAUAAGUGUAUUUUUUUUUUUAGAAAAUAAGUGUAUUUUUUUUAAUUCUUAAUCUACAAUUGUAGUUUUUACAUCUCAACUCAUUCAUCUCACGUGCAUAUAUUCAUUGGAGAUAAGUGUAAUUAUAGUAUAUUAUAUUUGACUUAUCUAAAUAUAAUUCUAAAAUAUACAUCUAGACAUAACAUAAUGAUAAAUGCAUUUACAAUCUAAUAGCUGUUCAAGUUCGAAUCUCCUUCUCCAAUACUCAAUAUAUAUAUAUAUAUAUAUAAAUGAAAUAUUUACUUGAAUUAUUGAUUACCGUUUGUAUCCGCUUAAGUAUAUUGAAUUUUAAACAAAUUACUCCUACUAGCUUUUAUUUUUUUUAUUUUUUAAAGGCAGACUAAUUUUUAAUUAGUUAGUUUAAUCCUAUCGUCUUAUAUAAAUAAAUUUUUAUAAUAGUACAUGCCAUAUAAAAGAUAAUAAUUAUUAAACUCAUUUUUAUUCAAAAUCGAAAUUACAAUAAUUAAAUCAUAAUAAAAAAUUUUCAAUUAUAUAAUAGUAAUGAUAAUAGUCAAAAAUCAUUGAGAGCUUAUAGGAUAUUAUUAACAGAAAUAUAUUUUACUUAAAUUUUAAUUUAAAAAAAUAAACUUUUUUUUUUGUCAUCGCUGAAAUAUUUGUUAAGUUUUUUCCUUUUUAUUAUUAUUAUUAUUAUUAUUAUUAUUCUCUAAUAAAAGUAAUUUGAUUACUGACAAAAAACAAAUUUAUAGGCAUAAAGAGUAUAUGAUUUCCAUUAAUUAUUUUUGAAAGACUUUUUAAUUUUAAUUGAUUCCUUGAUUUUUUUCUUAAUGCAUUCCAACUAAAAAAGGACAUAGGAUUUAUUAAAUGCAUAAAUGGUAUUGUCAAUAUGUCUGGUGAGGUCCAGCAUUCUGGUCACCAAAAUAUCAAUGUCUGUCUUCCCUCACUGGCUUUACUUUAUAUAUUAGUUUUUAUUUUACCUCUCAGCCUGGAUAAAAAAAUUUUGUGGCACUCUGAAUUAUAAAAUUGAUUUUAUCUUAAAUUCAAUUUUUUUUAAUAAUUUCAUACUUCUCUAUACUACAAACAGUAAAUUUUAAAGUUUUUUGGCUUUCAUAUAUAAAAUAUUAACUCGAUACGUGGUUAAUAACUUUUGGAAUAAUAAUUUUAUAUUUUUUUUACUUUUUAAUAGGUGUUUAAUUGAUCUAAUUUUAUAAGUUGAAGUAUUCAACUGAUCAAAUAAGUAUUUAACAAGAAUAAUUUUAUAAGUUAAAGUGUUUAACUGGUCAAAACAAAAGUUGAGGGUGUCACAAUUUUUAUAAAAAGUAUAAAAAUAAAUUUAUGUAUUCAACUGUUUUUAUUUGUUAAAAAAUUCUAAAAUUUUUGUUUUUUAUUUUUGCCCAAAAUUUAAGUAAAUCAAUUUUAUAAGAUGAAAUUUGAAUCUUAAAUUGAGGAAAGGGUGAUUUUUUUUAAUCAAAUUAAAUAUUCUACAUAAAUUUUUGAUUCAUUAGAAGUUCAACCAAGCGAAAAACACGACAUAAUAAAUAUAGUUUUCUCUUGAUGCAUCAAAUUAAUUAAAACUUUUAUAGCCGACCGACCGGACUCCAGACUUCAAAAUUUCUUACUCCUGAGACGACGGAGGGAGAAGGGCUAGGUGGCCACCCUGGCUUUGAUAAAUGUUUUUAGUACAUCGUCUUUGCGCAAAACUCUUUGCUAUCUUAGUUGCCCUGAUGCUUUCACUCAAGUCAUUGGACUUGAGUUUGACCCUCAAUUUAAAUAAGAUUUUAUUUUAUAGUUAUAUUUUUAGUUUGUUUUUAUAAAUCGUAACAAAAUAACCGUAUUCCUCUAUAUUUGUAUUUUUUAUUUUGGGAUAGUUCAUUUAUAAAAGCUAUCCACGAAAAAGUAAAUAUUUGAUUUGAAAACUAAUGCUCCGUUUGUUUUUGUAAAAUAACUUAUAUGAAAAUAACUUGUUGAAAAAUAUUUUCUAUGAAAAAUAUUUUUCAAAUGACUUAUUUUCCGUUGUUUGGUUAUAAUUUUAAAAAUUAGUUACAAAUAUUAAAAUUUUUCUUAUAAGACCAUAAAAAAUAUUAAUAAUAAUAUUUAAAAAUUUUAUUGUUAAAUAUGAGAAAAAUGUAAAAAAUAUAUAUAUAUAAAUUAUGAAAGCCGCUGGUAGCCGGUGGCUGGUGGUGGUGCCUGAUGGUGGUAGCUGGUAGUGGUGGUCGGUGGUAAAUGAUGACUGAUUGGACUUACUACGAUGAUUAAUAAAUUAAAAAAAAUAUGAAUUUAUAAGAUUUAUCAAUGUCUGAAAAAUAUUUUAUUCUCUCAAAAAUAAUAAGUUAUUUUUCUUAAAAAAUGACUUUAUUUUCCUUUGACCAGGAAAAUAUUUUCUGUUGUCAUUAAAUAUUUUUAUCAUUAAUUUUAAAUUAAAGAGAACAACCAACAAGUAUUUUUGGUUGUCAUUAAAUAUUUUUAUCAUUAAUUUUAAUUUUAAACUUUAUUUAAUUUUAGUUUAGGUUUGAUUUCAUUCUAUGAAUGUACAAAACUUCAUAUAAAUAUUGAAAUAUACAAUAGCGUUAUAAAUUUAUAAUUCAAUUCAAUUAUUUAUUGUUGGUCAUGUAGAUAAAACUUAACAACUUGAAAAAAUUUUAGAAUUUUAAAUUCAUUGAGUAAACACAUGAUAUUUAAUUUAUUCAUUUAUUCAGUGAGAUGGAUUUAAUAUUAUAGCUCAUAAUUCUUUUUAAUAUUUUAAAAUUAAUAUAAAAUUAAAUUGAUCAAAUUUUAAAUUUAUUCAAAGUUGAUUUUUUUUUUACUAUAAAUGAUAGUUUAUGAUGUAUUUUCAUAAUUUUAUUUGCUUUAGUAAAUAUUUUAAAAAUAGCAUUUUUAAAUUUUUUUUAAAAAAAGAAACAGUUCUUGUAAUAAUAAUUUAAAUAAAAUUAUCAAAUAAAUUCUAAUAUAUAAUUAACAUUAAUAUUUUUAAAAACUAUGUAAGUUAUAACUUCAUGUAAUUUUAUGAAAAACUAUAUAUUUUCCAUAAUAAUACAUCAAUAUCAAAUUAUAUAUAUGUUUUCAAUAUUAAACCAUUUAUUUCGAAGUAAAAUGAUGAAUACACGAAAGGCAAUAAAAAAAACAAGACAUGAACUAACUCGACCUCUUGCUCAAAAAAAUACUUUAAUUAACUUAAAAAUUACAAUAAUGUAUUUCAAAUUUUAAACACUAAUAGUUAUUUUUAUUGUAAUUUUUAGUAUGAAAAAUUUAGGAAAUCAUUGUUUCUUUUCUAUUGAAAGUUAAUAUUUAUAUCAAAUAUCUUUAUUAUUUUGUGGCUAAAAACACUAUUUUUAUUAAAAAUAUUUUUGACCAUGUGUAAUGUAUAUUUGCUUGUAUGAAAUGAUAAAAUACAUUUUUGUCCCCCAAGAAAAAAUCAUGGCUAGUUGGCAAUAUCCUAAACAAGUUGAAAGUAAAAAUUAAGUACUAUUCCAUCUAUUUAACCUAAAUACGAAUGCAUUGCAAAGAAGAGCUUUCACCAAAUAUAUUCAUACCUCAUUUGAUUUAUGAAUAUGGCUUGAGUUGAUUUUAGAUUAAUUAAUAUUAUUUUGAUGGGCAAAUUAAAUUUACUUCAACAAAUUAAUUCAAUAAUUUUUUUUUAAAAAAAUAAUAAUGCAAUAUUAAUUAACAUGGCUAAUAAACAUGCACACACAACGCACGAAAUUGGAGAAUACAAAAGUGCAACAUAGUAUAGGAUAAGCUUGCAUAUUGAUUUCUAGUCUCAUUUCCAAUUUGGUUUUUUUUUUUUUUUUUAUUAUAGUUGUGUGUGGUAACAAUUUUUUAAAUAUUUUUUUAAUAAAUAUUAUUUUUUAUAAUAUGAAGUAACAUAGCAUUUGAAAUAUUUUUUAAAAAUUAAGAUAACCCGUUGGCCGGCCCUCCCCUAGAUUUUAUAGCAUUUCUUAACAUGCCUUGAUCUCGUUAUUUUGGUCACGUGACUCCUAUUGCUCAAGUUUGAGGUACUGGGAUCAAAAUCGUGCUGGCUGAAGUUCUGUUUAUUUUUUUUUAUUUAGUUAUUUACUUAGUUCUUAUUUACAAAAAAAAAAAAAGUUUUAGUUAAUUUUUAUAUAUAUUCAAUUAAUAUAUAUAUAUAUAUAAAUUUCGAACUCGGACUCCGUUCCUGCCUAUAAGCACAUAAAAUUUCAUAAUUUUAAUAAAUUAUUUUUUGUUUCCAUUAAAUGAUUUAUAUUAUUAAUUUUCAUUUUAGGUUAUUUAAUUUUAUAUAUUUUUUUAAAUUUUAGUUUUGAAUUUGAUUUCAUUCUAUGAAUAUAUAAAAUUUACAUAAAUAUUAAAAUAUAUAAUAGUGUUAUAAAUUUUUAUUUCAAUUGUUUAUUAUUUGUUAUUUAAUUAAAAUUUAAAAAUUUGAAAAAAACUUUAGAAAUUUAAAUUUGUUGAAUAAACACAUAUGAUAUUUAAUUUAUUCAAAAAAAUAAAUUUAAUAUUAUAAUUCAUGAUUCUAUUUUAAUAGUUUUUAGAAAAAAAAAAUAUAAAAUUAAAUUGAUUAAAUUUUAAAAUCACAAUAACGUAUUUAAAAUUUUAAAUACUAAUAUUUAUUUUCACUGUAAUUUUUAAUGUGUAAAUUUUAGGAAAUUAUUUCUUUCCUAUUGAAAGUCAUUAUAUAUAUUUAAAAAAUUUUUAUUUAUACUAUUUUCAUUAAAAAUAUUUUGAUCACAUGUAUAUUUGUCCAUGUAAUUACAUUAUUUUUAGGCAUUUUUUUAUUCAGGUUUAUUUUUUAUUCACCUAUCAAGACAAAUAUAUUUUCGCCUCCCUAUGAAAAAAUAUUGCCUUCGUCAUUGCUAACCCCUAUUUAACUUUUAAUAUUUUAUGAAAAACUAUUUAAAUAGCUACUAAGACUUGAACAACUACUGACACUUAAACGCUAAUAAAAUAACUAAUUUCCUGAACAUACUCUACCUUGAUGUUUUUUAAUUCUAGCAUCUAGGCAUAAUCACGGUUCCAGAACCGCUGGUUUCGAUUUUUAAACCGCUGGUUUCAGUUUCAGAAAAGAUGAAACCAAAACUAAACUACUUUUAGACGGUUUUAAAGACGAUUUUAAGACCACCAGUUCCGGUUCAGUUUCGGUUUGAAACCGAAUUUGGAUAACUUUUUUUAACCUUUUUAAUUCUUUUUAGCUAAAUAAGAAAAUUAAUAACAAAUAACAAUAUUAAAUUAAAAAAAGACUAAAAUAGUAAAUUAAUAGUUUUAAAAUUUAUUAAAAAAUUAUAACUACACAAAACAUCAAUUUAAAAUUCUUUACUAGUAUUUAAUUUCUAUAAAUUUAAAUUGAGAGACAUGUUAAAAAAUUGACUUGUACUUAAUUUAUAUUAGGAGAAAAUAAAUGAUAGGAGAAAUUCAAUGAAGUUUAGAGAAAAAAAAUUGAUAUUGUGAAAAAAAAGCAAGAUUAUUAAGGUAUUUAUAGUUAACAUAUAAAUUUUUAUUCAUAAAAAUACCCUUCAAAUUUUCCGUUUUUUUACCGUUAUAAAGGAUAAAAAUCUCCUUUAAUUUAAUUUAACAAUGAAUAAAAAAAUAUCAUAAUAUGAAUUUUUUAUUUCAGAAUAUAUCUUUCAAAUUGCCCUUUUUUUAUCGUUAUAAUGGAGAAAAAUAUCUUUUUAUUUUAUUUAAAAGUCAAAAAUACAUCUUAAAUAAAUAUUGUUUAAUUUAUAUGUAAAAAAUAUAUAUUAUAAAGGGUAAAAGAUUUAAAUUAAAAAUAUUUAAAUGAGGAGCGAUUUUUUUCUCUUUUUCAAGUUAAAAUUUAUGGGUUAUAUUUAUAUUAAUAAAUUUUAAGAUGAUAGUAAAGUUAUUGCAUUUAAUGAUGAAAAUUAAAAUUAAUUUAACAAUUAAAAAUCAAGUGUGAAGUGUGAUAUUUUCUAUUUUUUAAAAUGGUUUUAAAUCAGAACCACCGGUUUUAAUUUAACAUAUAAGGAACUGCAACCAAAUCUUAAACCGCCAGUUUUGGUUACGGUUUGAAACCUUGAAUCAUUGACCACGGUUUUGUUUCGAUUUCAGUUCGGUUCCAGUUCAAAAUCGAACCGUGGUCAUGCCAGGAUCAACUCUAAACUGUCAACUAAUUUUAAUUUCAAAAUCCCAAGAAAAGAACCAUAAUUUAAAUAGACCAUCUAUCCCAACUUAGUUCAAUUCAAAAUUAAACUUUUUCAAUCUGGACUUGUCUAGUCAGAUUUUGAUCCAAACAAAACAAAUGGCAACCUCUACAAUAGGAGAAUAAUAAGUUUUUAUGUUGUAAAGAAAUAAUGACAUGAAGAAAUCUUAAUUUUAGGCAUCACUUGUGCAAUGACAUUUGAGGCAUCUAUUGCCCAGCCAUGUGAAAAAGACCAAUACAAGAAUAAAAUGUUUGGUGAAAUGAGAGAAUUCCAUUUCUGUUUUAUUAGUUGUUAGGUAACCAAAUAAUAAUUUAGAACAUCAAAUGAGUGGCACUUAGCCUUACACGCAUCCCAUUGUUGUUUGUCCAAUCAUAUUGUUCACAUGGUUCUUCACAAACUUUCUAUCUCUAACAAUGAGAUUGUACAAGUUCAAAUACGUUGUUUUUUCCCCUACUCAGAGUAGAAGUGUGUGAUAUAUCAUUUUCAUCCAUAAUGUGUUGUUAGUUUGCUAUAAAGUAAUUAGCUAGGGACCACGUGUAGUCUGGUUGAUCUUCUCACUUUUUAUGAGAAUAUGAGAAAUAAAUAAUCUCGAGUUUGGAUUUUAAUGAUAACUCACUAAUGAAGGAUGACUAUUCCUUGCCUGAUAAUAUUAUUUUAGUCUAUUAAAACUUUCCAUAAAUAAAAAGGUUAGGAUAUAAAAUUUAUCUAAUGUAAUUAUUGACUGUUUUUCUACAACAAUUUAGUUAGGUAGUAGAAGAAAAGAAACAAUAUGUUAACCAAUAACUGAAUAAGAAAUUUGUCAUUAAAAUAUAACCUAAUUUUGUGACUUUUCUUUUUGAGGAAAAAUUUUGUGACCCUUUUUUUUUUUGUUAAAAGUAAGUAAACUAGGAAUUUUAUUAAUUGGGAGAAAACUGUAUAUAGAGGUGGAUAUACAUCAAUAUGUUUUUAUAUUUUUAUAUUUUUAUAUAUGAAAUCUAAUAAUAAAUCACUUAUACAAACAAAAUAAAAACACCAUCUUGAUUUGAAAGAGCAUAAAAUAUUUGUUAUAGGCGAUCGCUUGCUUUACUUGUUGGCUAUUCAUUGUCACUAUUCGAUUCCAUAAUUUUUCAGAAAAAUAAUGUCAUACUAUUUUAGCGAGACAAAGUUGGUAGCUGUUCAUAGAUAUUACUUUUCUUUACUAUUCAUAUCUUUUGAAAAUCAUGUAUUUAGGUUUUAGAUUGAUCACGACACAAACCAAAUCAUUUCAUAUCUCAACAAAAGGAAAGCAAGCUACCCAUCUUCAUCAUUGGAUCAUAUCUCCGACAAACAAAUAAGUUUUAUUAAAAAAAAAUAAGUUUUAUAAGUUAAAAAAAGAAAUAGUUUAAUAUUUAUUAUGUUGAUAAUUUAAAAGAAUUAUAUAUUUUAUUUCAUAAUUUCAAUUCGUCCAAUUGAAUGCAUAAAUUAUGUAGUUUUCGAAAAAUAAAGCCUAAGUUAAAGUAAAUUUGUUAGGUUACCUAAUGACCUACAUAACAGUAGAGAUGCACAUUUGGUUUGACCGAACCGAAUUGAUUAAGUUCGGUGUGACCGAAUAGAUUUUAUGCUUACCAAAAUUAGACCGAAUACUAUGAAAAUCAGUCAGCAUUGAACCAAACUAGAUUGGUUUGGAUUUGAUUCAAUUAAUUUGAAUCGAAUCAUCUCUUUUGGACUUAAAAAUAAAUUCGAUUAGCUAUGCAAAUGACCGAACCAAAAAAUGAAAUUCAUUCGGUUAUUAAUAUUCAAAUCGAACAAUAACUUGAUAUCUUAAAAUCUAACCAAACCAAAUUGAAAUUAGUCUAUUCGGUUCGGUUAUUCGGCCCGGACCGAGUACUACUUACCCUUACAUAACAAGGCUAGCAAUUCCCUUGACAUACCAAAUUAAUGAAAACUGUUAUAAUUGAGAAAAAUCAAAUUUGAGACUUCUCACUCUUUACAUUAGUAAAAAAAAACCAAUAAGACUACGCCUAAUUGACAAGUAACAAUUUCUUUGUAAAGAUAUAAACAACAAAAUAACAUAUUUAUUCAUUAAUAACAUUUUAUAUAGGGAAAAUUUUCUAUUAAAUUAAAGAAAACAUUUUUUUGUUAGAAUAUUAAACAUAUUUUUUCCCAAAAAUAUUCAUUUAAUUUAUACUGGUAUGGUAUUAAAAUAAACAUUAAAUAUAUAGGGACUCAAAAAAUAUGAAAUGUGAAAAAAAUAACAUUAUAUAUAUAUAUAUAUAUAUAUAUAUAUAUAUAUAUAUUUCUAUUUAGGAACACAUGAUUUUAUUCCUAAGAUCAAGCUAUAUACACGUUCUUUCUUAUUUUACAUUCUGUUAACAUAACAAUCGUUUGUUAUAAAUGUAGUCAACCCGUACCCAUUCAAUGCUGUUGUGAAAAUAUCACUUAAUCGUUCUCCAAUCUCGACAUGUCCAAUAGAUUAAUUGGGGACUCAAAUAUCAUCGUACCAUCUUAGUAUUCAAUAAUUCAAAUUUCUCUUAUAUCCCUCUCAACCAUUAAAAUACAAAGUGUCUUUGUUCCCAAAUCUCUAUCUCUUUCUCUCACACAUAACACUCUCUCAAAACCCCAAACCAGAGCAAUAAUGUCUCGCCACAGACGGCAAGCAUCUCAAGUUCUUCCGCCGGAGUUACUGACCGGCGAUGAGUCUUUAGGAGACUUACUAGGGCAAGCAACGGCAAGAGUUCAAGGCAUUACUGCUAUAAAUGAGAAAUCCACAAAUCCUUCCAUAACUCAGCACCAUCAAGAGCAAUCCACAACUGCUACUGCUACUGGUACAGCCUCUCAUUUUCCGGCCAAGAAGCCUCCUCCAGCCGGAAAACCUGCAUGAUUCACGGAGGAAGUUGCAGGUUCAGUUCAGUCCAAGAAAUCUGGAGUAGUCUUAAUAAUUUCUGCAUCUCUGUCUCCUCUUAUCUUUGGUUGUAAUCUUGCAUCUUUCUUUUCUUUUUCUUUUUUUCCUUCUGCUUUAAUUUUGAAGAAAAAGAACUUUUCUCACUCCAGCUUGUUAUUAUUUAUUUAUUUAUUUUGCUGCCAUGAAUAUUUCUAUCCGGUAUUUAAAGGUUGACGAGAGAAUAAACCCUUUCAGGCUAACUUAUUACAUUAUUUAAUAGGAUUAAUCAAUUUUUGUUUUUCUGCUAAAAAAAAAAAGGUUUAAUCCAGAGUAACCAAGGUUAACUGUUGUGUUAGAAUAUGCAUUUUGAUUAAUUAAAAAUUGUGAAAAUUUUAAGCUGGGGCUCACUGCACACUACUUUCAGAAAAUGAAAUUAUCAGUUGUCUCUUUCUUGAUUCCAAA
rnacentral:lncRNA from 1 species